GACGAACGCUGGCGGCGUGCCUAAUACAUGCAAGUUGAGCGCUGAAGGUUGGUACUUGUACCAACUGGAUGAGCAGCGAACGGGUGAGUAACGCGUGGGGAAUCUGCCUUUGAGCGGGGGACAACAUUUGGAAACGAAUGCUAAUACCGCAUAAAAACUUUAAACACAAGUUUUAAGUUUGAAAGAUGCAAUUGCAUCACUCAAAGAUGAUCCCGCGUUGUAUUAGCUAGUUGGUGAGGUAAAGGCUCACCAAGGCGAUGAUACAUAGCCGACCUGAGAGGGUGAUCGGCCACAUUGGGACUGAGACACGGCCCAAACUCCUACGGGAGGCAGCAGUAGGGAAUCUUCGGCAAUGGACGAAAGUCUGACCGAGCAACGCCGCGUGAGUGAAGAAGGGUUUCGGAUCGGAAAACUCUGUUGGUAGAGAAGAACGUUGGUGGGAGUGGAAAGCUCAUCAAGUGACGGUAACUACCCAGAAAGGGACGGCUAACUACGUG
rnacentral:rRNA from 1 species